GGAGGGAGUGGGAUGGACUGGGAAUCUAUAGUUAAUAGGUGCAAACGUAUUGCGUUGGUAAUGGAUAAGCAAUGAGAUCCUGCUUCAUAGCACUGAGAACUGUAGCUAGUCACUAAUGAUGGAGCAUGAUGGAGGAUAAUGUGAGAAAAAGAAUGAAUACAUAUGUGUGUGUGUGUGUGUGUGUGUGUGUGUGUGUGUGUGUGGCUCAGUUUGCUGUACCGCAGAAAAUUGGCAGAACCCUGAAACCCAGCUAUAAUGGAAAAAGUAAAAAUAAUUAAACUAAAAGAUGUUGUACCGACACACAAAGGAAUACCACUUAGCCAGAAAAUGAACAAAAGAAGGCCAUUUGCAACAUUGAAGGAACAAGAGAUGCUCAUACCAAGUGAAGUAAGUCGGAAAGAGAAAGACAAAUACAUUGUGAUAUCACUUAUACGUGGGAUCUGAAAUAUGGUGUGAAUGAACGUAUCUGUAGAAACUAAACAAACUGAUGGACAUGGAGAACACAGAUGUGGUUGCCAAGGUGGAGGGUGAAGGCGUGGGAUGGAUUGGGAGUUUGGGGUUUCUAGGUGCAAUCCAUAAUGUCUGGAGUGGAUUGGGAAUGAGAUCAUGCUGCAUAGCACAGGGAACUAGAUCCAGUCAUAAUGGAUGAUGACGGAAGGUAAUAGGAGAAUAGUAUGAACAUGCGUAUAACUGAGUCACGUUGCUGUAGAGUAGAAAUUGACAGAAAGUUCUAAGUCAACUAUACAACAAUCGCCCAGCGGCUCCAAAGUUCAGUCAGAGCGAUGCUGUGAAAAUCUGGACUUAACAGCUGGAUGACAGGUAUUGCAGAGUCCUUAUGGCUGGAAGGGCUUGUCUGUCUGGAAGGAUUCUGCUCCUUGUGGACAUCUGCCUGUCUGUCCAUCCAUCUCUCCACCUCCCGAGGGGACAGUUUCUAAAUCCCAUAUAGCAGAGGUUCAGGCAGUAGCCGUGACCCACCCAUGCUGGCCACCCUCACAGCCUAUAUCCUUUGAGGUCCCAUCCACAUACACUGGAAGGUGAUGGCCCCAUCAUUGACCAGAGGGUGCAGCUCCUGGGUACUCCAUGCAUAGGAAGUCGCACAGGGCAGAGAUGCUCUGCAGGUCACCGAUGUCCAGUUGGGGGAAUUGUAGGCUCAGGGCCUCUGCCUGCAGUUGCUUCACUGCUGCCUGUCCUCUGGGAAUGUCCCUUGCUGGCACAGCUCCCACACCAUGGGCAAUCCUUGUUUGCGUCAGGCACCAUUACCACGUGGGUGUUGGACUCAUUACUGACGUUGCAGGCCUCCUGCCCCUCCAGGCUCACAUAAACAACACACCCUCCCUGCAUAGACUGGACCACAAUCUCUCCUAUCCACCAACACACCUGCACACUCCCUCUUCCCUGCCGGCUCUGAUUCUCUUAGGUCCGCAUCUUUCAUAAAAGUGCCCCCUCCUUCAACUACACAGUUGCUCUUGUCCCAUUGAAUUUGGGGUUUAAAGACACCAGAGCAAAUAUCCUCCCUCUGUGAUGCUGCCCGUGUUACACUGCUGGCUGCUGAGCUAGAGCCCACGGUCUCAAUGUCACCAUGCUCCUCAGUUUAUGAACCCUCUCUGGCGACUUUCCUGCUGCAAAGGCAGAUCUGAGUAGCUGCAGCAGAGCCCACUUGGACCCGCAAAGCUCAGUGGAUUUCCUGUCUGACCGGAUCCAUAACGGGGGUUGUCCCAAGUUAUGCUCGCGCUUCUCUUGACCUGCCUUUGGGUCUCUUCCAUGUCUGAGCCUUUUUAGCAUAGGAACAGUCGGCACACGUGGACCUUUAUGAAGAGCCAUUUAUUCAUCUCUUGAUUGGUUUACAUUAUUUGUCAUCUACUCCAUGUUUCCCUUCCUUGGGGUCAGAGAAGUAAUGACAUAAGCCUUCACAGAAUGAGCAGCCCUCUCCGAGUGGGGACUCAAUGGAGACAUUUUGGUUCUCUAUUUUCUUUUUCAUUUUUGCAUAGGGCUGUUUUUGAUAGUGUAAGUAUCCUUUUGGGGAAAUCAGGACACAAAUUAUGCAUUGGCCCAGGGGUAGCUCUCAGGGGGAACACCCCAUUCUACAAAUUUUUUCUCAGAAACAAACUGACCGUGAGGCCCCUCAGCAUCUGAGAGCAAAAGGUCCAGGUACACGGGGGUCUCUGCUCCUUCCUCUGGUCUCUUGGGUGCCUCAGGUCCAGUCAUGUCAGUUCUCACCCACCCUGGGCAGCAGGCAUUCAGGAGGAUCUUGUCCCCUGCUCUCUGCUCACUCAGUUUAGAUCCUAGCAUAGAUCCUGGACAACACAGUGACCCCGAUUUUCGUCACUCCAUAGAUCAGAUCACACCAUCCCUCCUUCCUGUGCACCCCGUUCUUUGUGUCUUCCACAAACUUGUUCAUGAGCCCCACCAGCUCCUGCUCUGUGAUGGUCUCACUCUUGAACUUCUGCUGCAAUUCAGGGCUGCACUCGUUAAGGGCUCUGACACCCUCAGUGCUAGACACAUUCACCACUCUGCCUGUAAUACAACACAUAUCCUUAUAUAGAGACAUGAGCACCAGAAGGAUAUAUAUAUAUACCCAGUUCUCCAGGACUUUGGACCCUAAAUUUCCAACUGAGAUUCAGUGAGCAGUUUGCUAGGAGAAGACGUAAGAGUGCCUCUGUGAGAGAGGGACAUGAACUGGCCUUGGAUCAUCUGCUGAGCAUCGUGUAUGGAUGAUGUCAGGGAAUGAAAUGCUCUAGUGGGGAGGGCAGUGCCCAGAUUCCCAUAAGAAAAGGCAACUGGUGUAUGGAGGAAAAUGCUCAGAAAAUAAGAGGAGUCCUCGCUGCACUCAGGAGAGUGGCCUCCUUUGGGGCCACCUGAGGGUCUAUGGUCACUUGGCCAGUGCUCUAGGACAGGUGUGUCUUGACCUGCCAAGGGCCUGUGGGUUUAUGAAUGGCAGUUCCUAGGGGAUCAGACAGCAUUCAUCUUGGGAGGCUCAGUCAGAAUAAGCUAAAAGCAUUCAUUUCAGGGUCUGAAUUUCAUGCAUUUUUUUCUGGGUUUGAGUUUUUCUCACUCACGAGUAAUGCCUCCAGUCCUGGCUAUUGGAGGACAGAGAGGGGCAGUGGAAUCUGAUAAUUUCAGAGAUGCCCAGUGAGCAUGCCACUGAGAGAUUCAAAGGGACCUUAAGAGGGAAUGAGAGUAGGACAUGAUAGGGGCCAUCAGAAGCAGGUCUUCCUGGGUGAGGAGGUGCAGAUACUAUGGAGGGACUGUCCUCAGGUGUGGUUCCUUGCAGUGUCUUUUUGGGUGCAGGAGGGGAGUGGAAAUGGGUGCAGCCCCAAGGUAGGAGUUGGCUCAUUGUUCCUAAGACUCUAGCAUCUUCUGAGACUCCAUGGCCACUAAAUGUUUCCUCUGCCAGCCAGUCAGAAGGAGGGGAGAUGUGUAGGAGACAGACUUGUUGAGGCCAUGUCUGGACACAGAGCUGGUAAGUGGGGCUGCAGGUGGAAGCCCUUGGAAGUUACAGUGUGUCCUGCUGAGAUGAGAUGCUCUCUCUGGACCUGGCUUUUCUGCCCUGGCAGGAGAACCCCUGUCUAAGGUGUCAAGGCAGGUACUGAUGUUGAGGGUCAAGUGUCCUGGGAGACUGAGUGACAGUCUCCUCUGGUUGUCACACUGAUGGAAAAUGAGUAGUUAAUGAAAAUUGGGGGCAGGAGUUCCCGUCGUGGCUCAGUGGUUAACGAAUCCGAGUAAGAAUCAUGAGUUUGUGUGUUCGAUCCCUGGCUUUGCUCAGUGGGUUAAAUGUCCGGCAUUGCCAUGAGAUGUGGUGUAGGUCACAGAUGUGGCUCAGAUCCCACUUUGCGGUGGCUGUGGUAUAGGCUGGCAGCUACAACUCUGAUAAGACCCCUAGCCUGGGAACAUCCAUAUGCCGCGGGUGCAGCCUUA
rnacentral:lncRNA from 1 species